GUGGCAAAGACGGUACUUGACUUUCAACACUUGGUGGUGCAGGAGCAUUAUUUGGUGGCUCUGACGGUACAUGUUCAGUACUUGGUGGUGGAGAAGCAGUUUUUGGUGGCAUAGGCGGUACAUGGCCUUCAACACUUGGUGGUGGAGGAGAAUUAGUCGGUGGCAUAGAUCGUACAUGGCCUUCAACACUUGGUGGCGGAGGAUCAUUAUUUGGUGGUGCAGUAGGUACAUGAACUUCAAUGCUUAGUGGUGGAGGAACUUUAAUUGGUGGCGUAGGCGGUACACGACCUUCAACACUUGGUGAUGGAGGAGAAUUAGCUGGUGGCAAAGAUGGUACAUGACCUUCAACACUUGGUAGUGGAGGAGCAUCUUUUGGUGGCACCGACGGUGCUUGACUUUCAACACUUGGUGGUGGAGGAGAAGCAUCUUUUGGUCGCAAAGGCGGUACUUGACUUUCAACACUUGGUGGUGGAGGAGCAUUAUUUGGUGGCUCUGACGGUACAUGUUCAGUACUUAGUGGUGGAGAAGCAGUUUUUGGUGGCAUAGGCGGUACAUGGCCUUCAACACUUGCAGGUGGAGGAGAAUUAGUUGGUGGCAUAGAUGGUACAUGACCUUCAACACUUGGUGGCGGAGGAGCGUUAUUUGGUGGUGUAGUAGGUACAUGAACUUCAAUGCUUAGUGGUGGAGGAACAUUAAUUGGUGGCGUAGGCGGUACACGACCUUCAACACUUGGUGAUGGAGGAGAAUUAGCUGGUGGCAAAGAUGGUACAUAACCUUCAACACUUGGUAGUGGAGGAGUAUCUUUUGGUGGCACCGACGGUACUUGACUUUCAACACUUGGUGGUGGAGGAGCAUUAGUUGCUGGCGCUAACGGUACAUGAACUUCAGUACUUAGUGGUGGAGGAGCAGUUUUUGGUGGCAUAGGUGGUACAUGGCCUUCAUCACUUGCUGGUGGAGGAGAAUUAGGAGGUGGCAUAGAUGGUACAUGACCUCCAACACUUGGUGGUGGAGGAGCAUUAUUUGGUGGUGCAGAAGGUACAUGAACUUCAAUGCUUAGUGGAGGAGGAACGUUAAUUGGUGGCUUAGGCGGUACAUGACCUUCAACACUUGGUGGUGGAGGAGAAUUAGUUGGUGGCACAGACGGUACAUGACCUUCAACACUUGGUGGUGGAGGAGCAU
rnacentral:lncRNA from 1 species